AGUUACUGCUAUCGAGGUUCGACUAAGCCAUGCGAGUCGAAUGUAGCAAUACAUGGCGAACUGCUCAGUAACACGUGGACAACCUGCCCUUAGGUUGGGUAUAAACCCGGGAAACUGGGUAUAAUACCCGAUAGGUCUCGAUUGCUGGAAUGCAUCGAGAUUUAAAGCUCCGGCGCCUAAGGAUGGGUCUGCGGCCUAUCAGGUAGUAGUGGGUGUAGCGUACCUACUAGCCUACGACGGGUACGGGUUGUGAGAGCAAGAGCCCGGAGAUGGAUUCUGAGACACGAAUCCAGGCCCUACGGGGUGCAGCAGGCGCGAAAACUUUACAAUGCUGGCAACAGCGAUAAGGGAACCUCGAGUGCCAGGUUACAAAUCUGGCUGUCGAGAUGCCUAAAAAGCAUUUCAUAGCAAGGGCCGGGCAAGACCGGUGCCAGCCGCCGCGGUAACACCGGCGGCUCGAGUGGUAACCGUUAUUAUUGGGUCUAAAGGGUCUGUAGCCGGCCGGAUAAGUCUCUUGAGAAAUCUGGCAGCUUAACUGUCAGGCUUUCAGGAGAUACUGUCUGGCUCGAGGCCGGGAGAGGUGAGAGGUACCUCAGGGGUAGGGGUGAAAUCUUGUAAUCCUUGAAGGACCACCAGUGGCGAAGGCGUCUCACCAGAACGGACCUGACGGCAAGGGACGAAAGCUAGGGGCACGAACCGGAUUAGAUACCCGGGUAGUCCUAGCCGUAAACGAUACUCGCUAGGUGUCGGCCACGGUGCGACCGUUGUCGGUGCCGUAGGGAAGCCGUGAAGCGAGCCACCUGGGAAGUACGGCCGCAAGGCUGAAACUAAAGGAAU
rnacentral:rRNA from 1 species